GGAAUGCCUAGAGGCAGUCGGUGCUUGAGGCAUUUAAUGUCUGGACCACCAGUGAUGCACUGAGGAGCGCGACACACCUUCCCCCGACAGUCCUACUCUGGGCCGCCUUCUGGCCUCCAUGGGACCAGGAGAAGCUCCGCCCACCGGAAUUAAAAUUACAUCCUGUCUGCUGGCUGGCACACCUUCCCAUGCCCCCCCCCCUCGGCACAGGGCUCCCACAUCACAAGGCACGCCAGGCGGAGGGAGUAAGUCAACAUUUGCUGACUGCACAGGGCAACCCUCCAAUUCCAGACACUUCCCCUUCCCCAGACAUGGCAGGUGGGGGGGGGGGGCAACCCCUUCCUGUUCCAAGGGAGAGAGAGCAUGGGCAGUUUUUGCCGCACCGGCAGUGUGUCUGAUCAGUAUCACCCAGCUUUCCCCAGGUCUGGCGUUGCCGGCACCGUCACGACACAUCAUCUGAGCCUAUCCGUCACCCGCCCUGCCUCGACACUGGCUAGCACCUGAACCGAAGUCUCCACUGACUCUCCAUUUAUGCUCAGAGUAAUUAUGAAAGCAGGAAUCUGACGGGAAAAAAGUGGUGGGUUGUCAACUUGAGGAAAAUGUGGCCAUGGGGGCUGGAGACAGGGGGAGGGGCCUCUAAGAGCCCUGGCUGCUCUUCCACAGGACUGUGAGUUCAGUUCCCAGCACCCACAAGGCGGCUCGUAACUCCCCGUGAUUCCAGAGGACCUGGCACCUUCACGGAGACUUACAUGCAGGCAAGACACGAACGCACAUGAAAUAAAAAUAAUGAAAACGAAACGAAAACAAAAACAACGUAGCUGUCUGCGGCGACCCACUGCUGUGUCAGGGAGCAGCAGCCCAUGGAUGAGAGUCCCAGGAGACAGACCUGCCGGAGCCACUCCGGAAGCCCUGGGUGCGUUAUCAGCCUGGACAAUAAAGCAAGAAGCCGUUAUUGGAACAGCUGUGGGUGGCCCGCGGGAGUGCGGGAGAAGGAAUUUCCACGAGAAGAGUCCUCCGGGGAAGAGGCAUCCUGGAAGGCAGCCAGCUUGAGCAGCGGCGGCAGGGCUGUGUGUGGGAGCGGCUAGCACAGACCAGCAGGGCAGCUUACACCGCCAUCAAGGAGUCUGUGGAGCCUUUAGGAGGAGGAGGAGCCUGGUGUCGCCAAUGGUGGGCCUCUGAGGGUUCUGUUUCCACCUGGUUCCAGUUCCUACACACGCGUGCCCCCCCCCCCCAGUUUCCUCCAUGGUGUGGGGACGUCUCUGCCAAGCACUGCGGCCGUCACGAAUACCGCCAUGCCUUCCGCAGUGUGACGGGAUGGAACCCUCUGAAACCUCGACCCCCCCCCAAUAAACCCUUCCUCCUUG